rnacentral:lncRNA from 1 species
AUGAAUUUUGUGGGUGCAGGAUUUGGAUUUUGGGGCGAAGGGUUUGGAUUUUGGGGUGAAGGAUUUGGAAUUUUGGGAUGAAUUUUGGGGCGAAGGAUUUGGAUUUUGGGGUGCAGGGUUUGGAAUUUGGGGUGAAGGGUUUGGAUUUUGGGGUGAAUUUUGGGGCGAAGGAUUUGGAUUUUGGGGUGAAGGUUUUGGAUUUUGGGGUGAAGAAUUUGGAUUUUGGGGUGAAGGAUUUGGAUUUUGGGGUGAAUUUUGGGAUGAAGGUUUUGGAUUUUGGGGUGAAUUUUGGAUGAAUGAUUUGGAUUUUGGGAUGAAUUUUGGGGUGAAGGAUUUGGAAUUUGGGGUGAAGGAUUUGGAUUUUGGGAUGAAGGAUUUGGGAGAUUUGGGAUGAAUUUUGGAUGAAUGAUUUGGAUUUUGGGAUGAAUUUUGGGAUGAAGGAUUUGGAAUUUGGGAUGAAUUUUGGGGUGAAGGAUUUGGAUUUUGGGGUGAAUUUGGGGGUGAAGGAUUUGGGAAUUUUGGGAUGAAUUUUGGGGUGAAGGGUUUGGAUUUUGGGAUUUGGAUUUUGGGAUGAAGGGUUUGGAUUUUGGGGUGAAAGAUUUGGGAGAUUUGGGAUGAAGGAUUUGGAUUUUGGGGUGAUGUAUUUGUUUUCUGGGAUGAAGGAUUUGGAAGCAUUUGGGAACUUUGGGGUGAAGGAUUUGGAUUUUGGGAUGAAGGGUUUGGAUUUUGGGGUGAAGGGUUUGGAUUUUGGGAUUUGGAUUUUGGUAUGAAGGGUUUGGAUUUUGGGGUGAAGGGUUUGGAUUUUGGGAUUUGGAUUUUGGGAUGAAGGGUUUGGAUUUUGGGGUGAAUGAUUUGGGCUUUGGGAUGAAAUUUGGGAUGAAGGGUUUGGAAUUUUGGGAUGAAGGAUUUGGGAGAUUUGGGAUGAAGGAUUUUGGGAUGAAGAAUUUGGAAUUUGGGGUGAAGGAUUUGGAUUUUGGGGUGAAGGGUUUGGGUUUUCGGAUGAAUUUUGGGGAGAAGGAUUUGGAAUUUGGGGUGAAGAAUUUGAAAUUUGGGAUGAAGAAUUUGGAUUUUGGGAUGAAUUUUGGGGCGAAGGAUUUGGAUUUUGGGGCGAAGGAUUUGGAUUUUGGGGUGAAGGGUUUGGAUUUUGUGGGUGUAGGAUUUGGAAUUUGGGGUGAAGGAUUUGG